GAAAAAUACAUCAAAUUAUUAUAAACAUUAAAGUCCAAAUAAAUAGUCCAACAGCUUCAGUAGUUUGUAUAUCCAGAUUACUUCCCUUUGUAUCGUUAUGACGUUAUGUAUCGUUAUGACGGUUAUGGUAUCGUUAUGACGGUUAUGGUAUCGUGCACGACAGUUCCACUAUAAUAUGUAGAUAUGUUGUUUGAUGAAUUAUGUAUGAUUGCGUUCAAUCUGUAUGACCACUCCUUAACACCGCAGCAUUGUAUUACUCUGGUGCAGGCUGGAACCUCGGAAUUGAUGCACUAUAUACAGUAGAACCAUUGUAGGUUAAAUUUAGCUAACAAAUAUGAAAUGCUCUAACGAGUGUGGCAUCCUUCCACAC
rnacentral:lncRNA from 1 species